GACAGAGGGGGCAAGCGUUGCUCGGAAUUACUGGGCGUAAAGGGCGCGUAGGCGGGAUGGCAAGUCGGUCGUGAAAUCCCUCGGCUCAACUGAGGAGCGUCGAUCGAAACUGCCGUUCUUGAGGGUUGCAGAGGAGACUGGAAUUCUCGGUGUAGCGGUGAAAUGCGUAGAUAUCGAGAGGAACACCUGCGGCGAAGGCGGGUUGCUGGGCUGACACUGACGCUGAUGCGCGAAAGCUAGGGGAGCGAACGGG
rnacentral:rRNA from 1 species